rnacentral:rRNA from 1 species
GACGGAAGGUGCAAGCGUUGCUCGGAAUUACUGGGCGUAAAGCGUGCGCAGGCGGUUCGUUAAGUUCGAUGUGAAAGCCCCGGGCUCAACCUGGGAAUUGCAUUGGAAACUGGCGGGCUUGAGUGUGGCAGAGGGGGGUGGAAUUCCACGUGUAGCAGUGAAAUGCGUAGAGAUGUGGAGGAACACCGAUGGCGAAGGCAGCCCCCUGGGCUAACACUGACGCUCAGGCACGAAAGCGUGGGGAGCAAACAGG